GGGUUGUGAGGUUAAGCGACUAAGCGUACACGGUGGAUGCCCUGGCAGUCAGAGGCGAUGAAGGACGUGCUAAUCUGCGAAAAGCGUCGGUAAGGUGAUAUGAACCGUUAUAACCGGCGAUGUCCGAAUGGGGAAACCCAGUGCAAUUCGUUGCACUAUCGUUAACUGAAUACAUAGGUUAACGAGGCGAACCGGGGGAACUGAAACAUCUAAGUACCCCGAGGAAAAGAAAUCAACCGAGAUUCCCCAGUAGCGGCGAGCGAACGGGGAGCAGCCCAGAGUCUGAAUCAGCUUGUGUGUUAGUGGAACGGUCUGGAAAGUCCGACGGUACAGGGUGAUAGUCCCGUACACCAAAAUGCACAGGUUGUGAACUCGAAGAGUAGGGCGGGACACGUGGUAUCCUGUCUGAAUAUGGGGGGACCAUCCUCCAAGGCUAAAUACUCCUGACUGACCGAUAGUGAACCAGUACCGUGAGGGAAAGGCGAAAAGAACCCCGGCGAGGGGAGUGAAAAAGAACCUGAAACCGUGUACGUACAAGCAGUGGGAGCACCUUCGGGUGUGACUGCGUACCUUUUGUAUAAUGGGUCAGCGACUUAUAUUCUGUAGCAAGGUUAACCGUAUAGGGGAGCCGCAGGGAAACCGAGUCUUAACUGGGCGUUAAGUUGCAGGGUAUAGACCCGAAACCCGGUGAUCUAGCCAUGGGCAGGUUGAAGGUUGGGUAACACUAACUGGAGGACCGAACCGACUAAUGUUGAAAAAUUAGCGGAUGACUUGUGGCUGGGGGUGAAAGGCCAAUCAAACCGGGAGAUAGCUGGUUCUCCCCGAAAGCUAUUUAGGUAGCGCCUCGUGAACUCAUCUUCGGGGGUAGAGCACUGUUUCGGCUAGGGGGUCAUCCCGACUUACCAACCCGAUGCAAACUACGAAUACCGAAGAAUGUUAUCACGGGAGACACACGGCGGGUGCUAACGUCCGUCGUGAAGAGGGAAACAACCCAGACCGCCAGCUAAGGUCCCAAAGUCAUGGUUAAGUGGGAAACGAUGUGGGAAGGCACAGACAGCCAGGAUGUUGGCUUAGAAGCAGCCAUCAUUUAAAGAAAGCGUAAUAGCUCACUGGUCGAGUCGGCCUGCGCGGAAGAUGUAACGGGGCUAAACCAUGCACCGAAGCUGCGGCAGCGACACUAUGUGUUGUUGGGUAGGGGAGCGUUCUGUAAGCCUGCGAAGGUGUGCUGUGAGGCAUGCUGGAGGUAUCAGAAGUGCGAAUGCUGACAUAAGUAACGAUAAAGCGGGUGAAAAGCCCGCUCGCCGGAAGACCAAGGGUUCCUGUCCAACGUUAAUCGGGGCAGGGUGAGUCGACCCCUAAGGCGAGGCCGAAAGGCGUAGUCGAUGGGAAACAGGUUAAUAUUCCUGUACUUGGUGUUACUGCGAAGGGGGACGGAGAAGGCUAUGUUAGCCGGGCGACGGUUGUCCCGGUUUAAGCAUGUAGGCUGAUUGUCCAGGCAAAUCCGGAUAAUCAAGGCUGAGGUGUGAUGACGAGGCACUACGGUGCUGAAGUAACAAAUGCCCUGCUUCCAGGAAAAGCCUCUAAGCAUCAGGUAACAUUAAAUCGUACCCCAAACCGACACAGGUGGUCAGGUAGAGAAUACCAAGGCGCUUGAGAGAACUCGGGUGAAGGAACUAGGCAAAAUGGUGCCGUAACUUCGGGAGAAGGCACGCUGGUGUGUAGGUGAAGUCCCUGCGGAUGGAGCUGAGACCAGUCGAAGAUACCAGCUGGCUGCAACUGUUUAUUAAAAACACAGCACUGUGCAAACACGAAAGUGGACGUAUACGGUGUGACGCCUGCCCGGUGCCGGAAGGUUAAUUGAUGGGGUUAUCCGUAAGGAGAAGCUCUUGAUCGAAGCCCCGGUAAACGGCGGCCGUAACUAUAACGGUCCUAAGGUAGCGAAAUUCCUUGUCGGGUAAGUUCCGACCUGCACGAAUGGCGUAAUGAUGGCCAGGCUGUCUCCACCCGAGACUCAGUGAAAUUGAACUCGCUGUGAAGAUGCAGUGUACCCGCGGCAAGACGGAAAGACCCCGUGAACCUUUACUAUAGCUUGACACUGAACAUUGAGCCUUGAUGUGUAGGAUAGGUGGGAGGCUUUGAAGCGUGGACGCCAGUCUGCGUGGAGCCAACCUUGAAAUACCACCCUUUAAUGUUUGAUGUUCUAACGUUGGCCCCUGACCGGGGUUGCGGACAGUGUCUGGUGGGUAGUUUGACUGGGGCGGUCUCCUCCCAAAGCGUAACGGAGGAGCACGAAGGUUAGCUAAUCCUGGUCGGACAUCAGGAGGUUAGUGCAAUGGCAUAAGCUAGCUUGACUGCGAGCGUGACGGCGCGAGCAGGUGCGAAAGCAGGUCAUAGUGAUCCGGUGGUUCUGAAUGGAAGGGCCAUCGCUCAACGGAUAAAAGGUACUCCGGGGAUAACAGGCUGAUACCGCCCAAGAGUUCAUAUCGACGGCGGUGUUUGGCACCUCGAUGUCGGCUCAUCACAUCCUGGGGCUGAAGUAGGUCCCAAGGGUAUGGCUGUUCGCCAUUUAAAGUGGUACGCGAGCUGGGUUUAGAACGUCGUGAGACAGUUCGGUCCCUAUCUGCCGUGGGCGCUGGAGAAUUGAGGGGGGCUGCUCCUAGUACGAGAGGACCGGAGUGGACGCAUCACUGGUGUUCGGGUUGUCAUGCCAAUGGCACUGCCCGGUAGCUAAAUGCGGAAGAGAUAAGUGCUGAAAGCAUCUAAGCACGAAACUUGCCCCGAGAUGAGUUCUCCCUGAGACUUUAAGUCUCCUGAAGGAACGUUGAAGACGACGACGUUGAUAGGCCGGGUGUGUAAGCGCAGCGAUGCGUUGAGCUAACCGGUACUAAUGAACCGUGAGGCUUAACCUUACAACGCCGAAG
rnacentral:rRNA from 1 species